rnacentral:lncRNA from 1 species
AAAAUAAUAGCAAACUGGAAGAAAAGAAAACUAAGUAUAUUAGGAAGAAUAGUAGUAACUAAAUCUUUAAUUCUACCAAACUUAACAUAUAUAGCAUCAAAUACUGUAAUACCAAAAGAUUCGCUACAAAAAUUUAAAACCCUCAUAUACAAUUUUAUAUGGAAUGGUAAAAGAGACAAAAUUAAAAGAUCAACUCUUUCAACAGAGUACAAAAAAGGGG